rnacentral:rRNA from 1 species
CCUAAAGGCGCAAUGAAAGUGAAGGUCGGCCUUAGCGUCNAUCNAGGGAGGAUGGCAUGGGUUUGCUCAAGUCCGCACUCCCGGGGCGUCUCACGGUCGUUUCGACCAUAGGCGCACCCAGAGCGUACACGUUGGGACCCCAAAGAUGGUGAACUAUGCCUGGUCAGGACAAAGUCAGGGGAAACCCUGAUGGAGGUCCGUAGCGAUUCUGACGUGCAAAUCGAUCGUCNGAACUGGGUAUANGGGCGAAANACNAAUCGAACCAUCUAGUAGCUGGUUCCCUCCNAANUUUCCCUCACGAUAGNUGGCACUCGCUCGAUAGCGAGUCUCAUCUGGUAAAGCGAAUGAUUANAGGCCUUGUUGGCUGAAANACCUCAACCUAUUCUCANACUUUAAAUGGGUGAGAUCUCUGGNUUGCUUGAACGUUGAAGCCAUGAUAUCGCGUUUCGAUGUGCAAAAACACACAAAAGCGCCUCACGGAUCAAAGUGCCAAGUGGGCCAAUUUUGNUAAGCANAANUGGCUCUGUGNGAUGAACCAAACGCCNAUUUAA